AUCCAGCUGACGAGUGCCAUAUAGGACAAAACGUUGGUCCUGGAU
rnacentral:hammerhead_ribozyme from 1 species